rnacentral:rRNA from 1 species
UACGGAGGAGGCAAGCGUUAUCCGGAAUUAUUGGGCGUAAAGCGUCCGCAGGCGGCAGUUCAAGUCUGCUGUUAAAGACCGGGGCUUAACUUCGGAAAGGCAGUGGAAACUGAACAGCUAGAGUAUGGUAGGGGCAGAUGGAAUUCCUGGUGUAGCGGUGAAAUGCGUAGAUAUCAGGAAGAACAUCGGUGGCGAAGGCGCUCUGCUGGACCAUAACUGACGCUCAGGGAUGAAAGCUAGGGGAGCGAAUGGG